GCAGCAGAAAGACGUGCUGAGUGUAAAGCUGUCAGCAGGGGGAAUAACACAGGGCUGUGAAUGAGUCCUGUCACUGUGAUCAGGCUCCUCCUUCUAAUCCACCAACUUAGUGUUGAUGAAGACUAAACAGAGAGAUCACAGCUUCUUUAUACUUGCUGUAGCUCACAGUUACUCUACACUGCAGAUAUGACGCCUCUGUUCAUCUCAGUGCUGCUGGCUGCUAUGUGCCUCGAAUGCAGAGCGCAAAAAGACAACGUGCUGCAAGCAAAAGGAGAAGAGACUGCUGCUGCGGGAGGCACAGUAACACUUCACUGUCAGUAUGAGAGCAGUGGAACUAGUAAUUAUCUCUUCUGGUACAAACAGGAUGGAAACAACAGCCCCAAAUUCAUCCUGAGUCGUGUCAGCAGGGAUGAUGGAAAGACAGCAGAUGAGUUCAAGGAGAGAUUUUCAUCCACACUGGAUUCCAGCAUCAGAUCAGUUCCUCUGAAGAUCCAGAAGCUUCAGCUGUCUGACUCUGCUGUGUACUACUGUGCUCUGCAGCCCACAGUGACAGGAAACACCAAAACUCUGUACAAAAACCUUUGGAGCAAAGACAACAGAAUACUCCACAACAUCCACUAGAGGGAGCCACACACUGUUAAACCUCUGAUUCUUGUGUCAUUGGACUGAUGACAAAGACAACAGAGAAAUGAAGCAGUAAAGAUCAGAGACAGAGACAGAGCUGCUGUGGAAGCACAAAACUAUUUGACUGGCUGAGCUAUUAAACUGGCCCCGCCCACUGAACCUGAGCUCAUCCAAUGACAUUAUUUGUUGGUCAUUGUGCUGCAGUGGAAGAACAUUGUUCAUGUGCUGUCUGUCUGGCUUUAAUAACUCCAAAGACAUGUUGCUGCACCUCUUUUUGCUUCUAUCUCCCAUUAUAGGACUCACAGCUGGAGACUCAAUCACUCCUCAACAAACUGAAGUCACUGAAACAGAAGGAGAAUCUGUCACACUCACAUGUGACUAUGAGACAAGUUACAGUGGUAUCUACCUU